GGCGCAUGGGCGGGAAGGUGAGCAACAGGUAUUUACCUCAGAGCAUGAGAAGAAGCUGAGUGCUGCGAGGGAAGGAUAGCAGGCAGAAUCCAAGCAGCAUCAGGACCGAGGAUCUGCUGCCGAAGAUAGAAGAAGCGGAGUGGAGAACCGCGAGGCAGGAGCGAGGAUGAAGAGGAAGCAGAAGCCUGCAGAUGCGGGGGGGAAAGAGAGAGGCACCCUGGGCAAAGCACCUCCCUGCUAGCAGGGGCAUAGUCAAAUUGGCAUUGAGCGUUGCCGGCCCCUUGGGUGACCAGGCCGGCUUUGUGCUGGGCGACCUCCCUGUAAGCAGGGCUCGGGUCUUUGCUGUAGUUGGCCUUUUGCCUUGCUGCUCCUUUGGCUGCCUGGGGAGCGUGGCCCCCUGUACGGAGGGCGAGAGCCACCUCUCCGCACCCGAGUGGGAAAUGGAGCUCGCUGGACCCCAGGGCCACCCUGUAAGCAGGGUAGUGCCUUUCCCUGCCCCUCCUCCUCCGGCCCCUCAGUGCUGUUGCCUGCUGGUGGCCUGUCAAUAUGCCAGUCCUGUACUUGUAUGCCUGCCAAAUGGUGUGGAGCCCUCUGUUCCCCGAGCAGCCCGUCCCCCCUACCCCGCCUGUAAUCAGGGCUGGGGAUGCUGCAGCGGUGCAGCCGGCUGCUUUAGCCAUCCAGCUGGUGGGAAUGACCCCUCCCUGUCCCGUCAGAGGGUGCAGGUUGAGGUGCUGCUUGUGUGUGGGCUGACCUCCCCGCUCGGUGGGUUGAGGUUGCUCCCUGGGCUCCCAAAGACGUGCUGAUGUUGUGCUGCCGGGCGGGCCAGCCUGUAGCUCAGGCGUUGGCGGGAGCUGCGUGCUCCGUGGGGCUUCUUGGAGAUGGUGAGGCGUGGGGCGCCGUCCUGUAGGCAGGGCUGUGCGUGCCCCCUGUGCUUGGUGAGCUGAGUUCUGAGAGACCCCCUGUACUCAGGCGGGAAUGUGGCCCCGGCCUUUCAGAGGCACGGGGCCGCGAGAUGUGGGGCUGGGCUUGCACCCUCCCUGGAUUUGGGGCUGGCAUCCUGACCGCGGCCUUUGGCCGUGUUGCCCCGCUGCCUGGCGGCUCAGAGUUGUUCCUGCUGCUGGGGGGGAAACCGAGCUCUGUGGCUCCAGGGGUGUUGUCGGCCCGCCUGUAAUCAGGGUCUGGGCGUGCGAGCCUCUAUGCUCUGCUGGCAGCCCGUGUGGGGUGACCGCCCUGUUAGCGGGGUGCGGGCAAAGGUGCCCCCGACUGGGAGAGAAGGAGCCUCCCGCGGCCUUAGGGCUGGGGGCUGCCCUGUAACUCAGGGAGUGGCUGUGCCCCGCAGACCCAGGUCCUUUGCCAUGGAGACAGUGGCUGGGGGUCCCCUGUAAGCAGGGAAGCAGACUCCUUUGCCGCUGCUUUUAGUGUGCCCAGCUCCAUUUGCCCAGUCUGCCCGCCUCCGCGAUCCCCUGCAGCGCCGGCUGGAGCCUCCGCAGUGCGCCACUGAGGAUCUGCUGCCGAAGAUAGAAGAAGCGGAGUGGAGAACCGCGAGGCAGGAGCGAGGAUGAAGAGGAAGCAGAAGCCUGCAGAUGCGGGGGGGAAAGAGAGAGGCACCCUGGGCAAAGCACCUCCCUGCUAGCAGGGGCAUAGUCAAAUUGGCAUUGAGCGUUGCCGGCCCC